UAGUCACACGCUGUAAACGAUGUCGACUUGGAGGUUGUUCCCUUGAGGAGUGGCUUCCGGAGCUAACGCGUUAAGUCGACCGCCUGGGGAGUACGGCCGCAAGGUUAAAACUCAAAUGAAUUGACGGGGGCCCGCACAAGCGGUGGAGCAUGUGGUUUAAUUCGAUGCAACGCGAAGAACCUUACCUACUCUUGACAUCCAGAGAACUUAGCAGAGAUGCUUUGGUGCCUUCGGGAACUCUGAGACAGGUGCUGCAUGGCUGUCGUCAGCUCGUGUUGUGAAAUGUUGGGUUAAGUCCCGCAACGAGCGCAACCCUUAUCCUUUGUUGCCAGCGAUUCGGUCGGGAACUCAAAGGAGACUGCCAGUGAUAAACUGGAGGAAGGUGGGGAUGACGUCAAGUCAUCAUGGCCCUUACGAGUAGGGCUACACACGUGCUACAAUGGCAUAUACAAAGAGAAGCGACCUCGCGAGAGCAAGCGGACCUCAUAAAGUAUGUCGUAGUCCGGAUUGGAGUCUGCAACUCGACUCCAUGAAGUCGGAAUCGCUAGUAAUCGUAGAUCAGAAUGCUACGGUGAAUACGUUCCCGGGCCUUGUACACACCGCCCGUCACACCAUGGGAGUGGGUUGCAAAAGAAGUAGGUAGCUUAAC
rnacentral:rRNA from 1 species